CGGGGUUCCCGGGCUGCCCCCGCCACCGCCCUCCCCACCGGCUGACAUUUGCCAUGCGCAGACAACACGCACUUCACCGAAGAAUUCAGCCCGAACCCCGCUGCAAACUCGCUGGGUUAUUUUUCUCCUCGUUCUCCGCUUGUUUAUGGCUGACGCUAUCUCGCCCGCACCGCUACCUCGGUUUCAUUAUCUCUUCUCGCAGAUGGACCGUGGCUUUCCUUCUUCACAGGGCUCCUGUCUGCUGGUGCUGUAGCUCCCUCUCCUCUUCCCAGCUCUGCGUCCCCCACCCUUACACACAGGUGAGCCUUCCCCAGCGAAGCACUAAACUCCAGCCGUCCUUCCUCCUGCAGUCCCUUCUCCUCUAAAGACCACACCGUCCCGUAAAAUAAAGCCAAUGGCGCUAAUGUAAUAAUGGCAAUAUUGUGGCCACCAGGACCAGGGCAGUGACCAUCCCCUCUGCUGGGGGACCUCCAAUCCCGGGGAUUAAAGAAGUGCAACAGCUUUCAAGGAUUCAAAGGCAUGGUGGGAAAAGGAAAAGGAUUUUUUUUACCUCAUUGGCAGAGAAUUUAAGGAUGGGUGUAACAGCCAGUGUGUCCCUGUAAGGCAGCACUGGAGUGGGUCGUGUCUGUGACAUCCUUUAAGGAAGAUGCUUCCUCUGGAAGUCUUUCUUACUGACUACAAUGAGCUAUCCUGGUAGAGCUGGAAGCCUCUGUGCAGACUGGAUCUUGAGUCCUGGGCUCAUUCUGGACUUGGUUGUGCUGGCUCCCUGUGAAGAACUCUGACCACUCUUCCAAAAUACUCUGUGACUUGUUUCCUUUCUCAGAGACUGAGUUAGAGGAAAUACUUCACAGAGCAAUAGAUGGGCAAAUGCAAAUCCUCCUUGCAGAGUUCUUUUAACUUCAAGCCACUAAAUAUACACAAUUAUGGAACUGAAUUUACUUCCUCUCUCAGAGGAACAAGCUUUGUCAGCUGUAAUGAUGAGCUGUUGUUUGACGUUCAUAAUAUUGUACUUCAGUGCUUAUCUGAUGGAGCCAUGCAAAGCUAUUUAGGGGUUCUGAAAUGUGACAGCCCACAUGAUGCUUUUUUAGACUUCACAAACCGCCUUCACGAGGCAGGAGAAUAUGACAUGGGGACGUCUGGCUGGAACAACAGCAUGCCUUAAUGCCAGCUGGGUUGCUGUAGCUGGGGAGGAGGAAUACUCUGGAAGUUACAGCUUUUGUUGUGUGCUGUCUAAGGAAGAACUUGCAGCCUGAAAGAACAGGACAUCAUGGAUGCCACGGGUGGGGACUGUGGGGAUUAUUGGUGCUGUCUGGAAACAGUUUAAAGAUGGUAGCAAAUAUGUUGAAACCUGUUUGGAUCAUCCACAGACAGAAGGGGGCUCAGGGGAGACAGCUCAGAUCCUCCAUUUCAUGCUACUUUGCCUUAAUAAACAGAAAGAUCUUACUUUCUGACAAACUUCUGUAUCUUCAUCCUUGCUGACAUGUGGAGCAUUCAUAGCAAACUUUGCUUUGAACCCUGGAAGCCUCCAGGUGAAAGAACUCAUUUAGGAAAACCAAAACUCAACAAAUCUUCUGGCUUCUGUUCACAGACUAACAGUAGCAGAAGAGCACAAAAGUUACCUUGACAUCUGUUCCAUAUGAACCCACGGAAGCUGAGUAAAUGGGUGGUGCAUUCUCACUUCCUUGCAGUGGCCAGAGGAAACAAAAUGGGAAGAAAAUGUUGCUGAGAGCUCUAAAACAUAACACUUUGCAGAGGUGGUUAUCACAUCCUCCAGGCAUUUUUACCUGUGGUGCUGCCCUGACAGUUGCAGUGUAUUGUGGAAAUAAAGUGUGAAGUCUCUCAGGACUGGGUCCUGCUUGUUGUGGAUGAGGCACUUACACGAAUACCUUUUGACAGAGGAGAACCUGUUCCUGAAUAAGCUACAAAGCUCAAGCCUGGCUGAAAAUGAAAUUAAAGUAAGGUAUCCCACCAUCUUCAGAUGAAGGAUUUUCCACACUUCUGCAGUGAUUUCAGGAGGCAGAGGCAUGUGGCCAGAGAAAGAGAAAAGGCUCCAGCCAUGCACCAGGGAAGUGGGGACUGAGAAGCAGAUUGAUUGUGCUAAGUGGCUUUUCCCUGUUUCAUUUAUCCUCUUUUACCAUCCUUGUUUCCAUUCCUUCCUCAGCUUUGUCUCUGUUGAAGAGCAGGGAAAACACCUUAUUCCCCUUUCACACUUGUAACACAUAUUCAUUAAAUCUCACUCUAUUAUAACUCAAAUAACUAUUGCCAUAUUUGAUUUUUUUAUUUAAGCUCUUAAUGAAUAAUUUUCCCUUGGUCUGGAUCUCUUGCUUCCUUUUUUCAUUUAGUUCACUGUCAAGUCCCAUGUACUGCUUUAGAGACACUUUGGGUUGAGGUAUAUGGAUUUUUAACCAUUUUUUCCUCCUGCCCUGUCUCACCCCUCCACCUCUGCUGAUUAGACCAGGAGGCACCAAGUCCAUCACUGCUACAGCCUCAAACUCCUUCUUCCAAGCCAGAAAUGUGGGCAGGGCUCUUGGAGAUAGUAUCUUCCUAACCUCAGCCAGAGUGCAAACCAACCCACAGCCCACCUCUGCCCCUAGAUGAGCAGUUGUGCUUCUCUAACCAUGGAAACUUCAGCAACACAGAGUCACUGUCUUCAUCUUUUCCCCAAAAAGGCAACACACAGCAGUGACAGCUUAGUGGGAGGAUGUUUCUUCCCCCAACAGAACAGAGCUUCAGGUGGCCACUACCUGGAGCCCACCACCUCUGAACUGCUCAGUGUCCUAGUAGAACAUGCAGAUGUAGAAUUUUUGGGCUGAGGUCUUAAUUAAAUUAUGUAUUAGGCUGGCAAAUGAACACACAGGAAUGAAAGAUGUUCCCAGUGCCUGUGGGUGCUGCAGCAGCGUGGGGCUGACAGCAGGGAUGGUCUGGGCUUCUCCAUCCUCCUCCUGCAUCUCAAGGCAAAGAUGUGGCAAACACUGGGGACAGAAAGGAGUCCCUUUUAUAGUCCUCAAAUCUUCAGAAAAUAAAGACAUACAGGACUGAAUAAACCUCUUAGGCUGGAAAUGUAUUCAGUGUUUCUGCAGAAUAGGGAGGGCACAAAGCUUCACUUACCAAAGCAGCCAAAUCUACUGAACUGUGGGGUUGGAAGACUUUUAUGUCUAGCAAGUAAUAACUGUCUUUAAUUAGCUUUGUUUACAUGAUCGAUGUCAAUGUCAGGCUCUCUCAGUGAAAAGGGCAGAAUGUCCUUAGUGGGAAAUGUGAUUUUUGAAGCCUGACAAUGUAAAACCAGCGGGAAGGUUUGUGCUCAGGCUGCUGGGGAGAAAAAUCACCUUUGGCUCAACAAAACAGGAAGGAUUUUGAGUCCACAGAAGAAGUUUUUCAAGAAACUAAUGAAAAUGGAGGAUUAUAGUUUAAACUGUUUUGCAAUCACUGGCCUCAAUCCUGCAGACAUUUUUCAAACACACUCAACUUUAUAUCUGUGGUUGGUUUUGCUGACCCUCAUGAGAUUAUUGACACCUGGAGAUAGAAGUGAAGGCCAGACUGUUUACAGAACAGAGUUGAAACUAUAGCAUUUUAAUAAAAAAAAGGAUGACAUUAUAUCAAGGUCUGCAUAAUCAGCUCACUGGGAUCCUUUCUGUUUGAAAAAAACCCUGAGAAAUUCAGGAAUUAAGAUUCAUGAGGUGGUCUCAGAUCUGCUCCCUUGUGUGAAUAGGACCUUUUGUUAUGCUGGAUCACAACACUGGGCCACAAAACUUAUUCAACAAAUAUUAAAAAACACCCCACCUUCAUAAAAUUUGAAUCUAUGUCUCACAUGCAAAUACUGUCUGCAUUUCUUUGCUCUCUAUAAAAAGUAUGUUUGGCCACUACCUGAGACUAAAAGGUUUCCCCUCAUCAAUAGAGAGCAACUACUUGGGGGAAAAAAAAAAAGCAAACUAUUUUUUUUUUUAAAUUUUGAUUUUUUUUUCUUUUAUAUCUUGGGAGUAUAUUAUACCUGCCAUGAAACAACUUUUUGAAACCCCCAAAACAGGAAUAAAUCCCCUCUGCAAGCUCUGGUUCCACCAUUUAUCAGGCUGUUGGUGCAAGAGCCAAACUGCCAUUGGGCUGACUCACAUUUUGGCAUUUUGUGUUCAUAUACAUGAUGGCGAUAUUUGCAAGCAACCGGGGAAAAUCCCUGUGUUCUUCAGCACCAUGUUCCCAGCAAAACCUUUCCCUCCUCAGCGGCAUCAUCAGAGCCUGGGGGUGUAGCCGCAGUCUGGUGUGGGCACUGUUGUCACCUCUCUGCCACUUAGCACCCGCAAUCCUCACCUUUCAUCCCGGACCUCCAGCUGGCUGGGCCCUGUGGCUGCCAGAGAUGCAGAUCUGCCCAAAUGUAGGCACACCUGGUGCCCCUCUGCCUUGCCCAUCCAUCCUGACCCUGUGUGAUUUUGCGAGCAUCCUUCGUGGCUCUGGAAAGCCAGCUUUGGCACUCAGGACACCUUUCACAUGAUCUUUAUCCCCCCAGGUCCAAAAUUUUCAAAGUAUUAUUCCUGGCAUUGGUAUUGUCCUUGACACCAGGUUUAUUUUUACCUCACUGACCCUUUUUAUCUCCAACUCCCUUGUCCUAAGUCUUAUCUUGGUUUUUUUUUGCCUUUUCCCAGGCUUUAAGGACCUGACAGGAACUCUGGCCACACAGCCUGGCAGACCUGGCUGUAUGUGGCUGUCAUUCCCACUUGCCUCUCCUGGCAUUCCCUAAACUUGAACCACAAAUUCUGGCUUCAUCACAGUCCCAUUGUUCACUGGGGAGAGGCAGAAGAGGUUGUCCCUUCAGGCCCUGCCACCACAGUUCCUCUCAGUAUCCUCUGGCUCAGGCUGACCCAUCACUACCUGCCCUACAUCCCACCUCUGACAUCCUGUUUUAUUCCU